AUGCCUAACAAGAGAAAUGCCGUAGGAUCGCCAUCAAGGGCCAUGGGGAAGAAAAGAAGAACGACCAGCAGGACAGGAGGAAAGAAAGUGCAGCCCGAAGAAAUUGCCCAAAAGAAAGACGGAGCUGGCCGGAGAAGAUCUGCCAAGAAAACAAAAGAGGUCGGACAUGUGGUGGCAGAAGUACCUGAGGAAACUACUGAUAUCUCAUCAGGUAAUGAGUCGGAGGAGGAUGCACGGGCAUUCCCCUCUUUAAGGCACGAAAUUGCAAAUAAUUCCAUUGAUUUCACUCCGUCACAAGAAUCUAGCGUUCAUGACACAGUGGGGGAACACGUGUCUUUUAAAAUUAAAGAAAAAAUUUGGGAGGGAAAAUUUAUAGAGCUUCAUUCUCUUUUGAGAACGCAAAAAGAAAUGGAAGAGGUUGACGAGGGCGAUUUGAAAUUAAAAAGGGGGAAAAUUUGCAUUGAAAAAAGAUCGUCGGGGGUUUAUUUGUCAAUAAAUGAAUGGACUUCAGCAUUCAUGAUUUUUAUGAGUGUCUACAUUGAGAAAUACAGCACACGGGCACAGGAAUUGUUAAAAUAUAUGCGCGAUAUAAGAUUAGCGGCAACUAGGUCAGAAAACUGGGCUACCUAUGACGAGCAAUUUAGGCUAAAAAUAGAAAAGAAUCCUAAUUUAUCUUGGGGAAAUAUACACGGUGAAUAUUGGCUAUUACACAUCACAUCUCCCACAGUACAUAACAGUGUGUCAGUGCAAUCACAGGGUUAUAGAACAGAUACACAAAAUCGUGGUAAUUAUAACUCAAAUGCAGCUACACUUUCAAACAAUAGAACACAUCAAAAAUCACAGGUAACUAGUGGAAGUGUAAAUAUGUCAUGUAAAUACUAUAAUAAUGGUAAUGACUGUCCCUACUUCCCUCGUUGUAGGUUUAAACACAUAUGUGAAAUAUGCAGUGGCAAACACAGAAAGGCCCAAUGUAAUAACCGGGCCAAGGAAGAAAUAACAAAAAGUAUUAAUUUUUAUUCAUUGGGAAAUACUCCUAUAAAAGUAUCAGUCUUGGAAAAUUAUUUAGAAUUCUACCCACUUAACAAUGUAGCACAUGAAAUUAUAUCUGGUUUCAAAUACGGUUUUUCAUUAAAAUAUUUUGGCUCUAGGGAACCAAGGGAGAGUUCCAAUUUAAAAAGUGCAUUACAGCUACCCAAAAUUUUUAAAGAAAAAUUAAUGAAGGAAGUUAAACUUGGUCGCAUAGCUGGUCCUUUCAGAUACCCACCUUUUCCCACACUUCAGGUAUCACCAAUGGGGCUAGUGCCAAAAAAGGAUGGGGAUUUCAGACUUAUUCAACAUUUAUCCUAUCCUGAGAAUAAUUCAAUAAACGAUUUUAUUGAUAAAGAUCAUUGUUCAGUGCAGUACAGUUCAGUGGACGAAGCAGCAUGUUUGAUUAAUAGACACAAAACAUUUGCCCGAUUAAGUCAGUGUGACGUAAAAGCGGCUUUUCGUUUGUUGCCAAUUGCCCCGCACGAUUUUGACUUGUUGGGGAUAAAAUUUCAGGGUGAAUAUUAUCUUAAUAAAAUGCUCCCUAUGGGGGCCUCAAUAAGUUGUGCCCUGUGGGAGAAAUUUGCAAAAGCUUUGCAUUGGAUAAUACAGCUAAAAAGCGGAAAUGAUGAUAUCCUCCAUUAUUUAGAUGAUUUUCUUUUUGUCGAGUCGAGCCAAACAUCAAAAGUUGGCAAUACUUUGAAGUUAUUCCAAGAGGUAUGCAACAAAAUAGGUAUUCCUCUUGCUAGUGACAAGACUACUUUGCCGACUACAUUACUUAUGUUUUUGGGUAUAGAAUUUGAUACACAGAAUUUAAUCAUGCGACUUCCAAAUGAAAAACUUGUCAAACUCUCACAAAAAAUCAGAGAUACCUUGGACAGUUCUAAAAUAACUCUUAAAGAUAUGCAAUCCCUUCUUGGGCUCCUGAAUUUUGCUUGUAAGGUAGUUGCUCCAGGCCGCACCUUCUGUCGCAGACUCAUAAAUUCAACAAUCGGGGUAAGAAAAUCGUAUUACAAAAUUCGAGUAAACAAGCAGAUGAAAGCAGAUUUAGAAGUUUGGUUAGACUUUUUAAAACAAUACAAUGGUGUAACUGUAAUAACAGACAAUGUAUGGGUUUCAAAUGAAAAAUUAGAGUUGUUCACUGAUAGUGCAGGGGGUCCAAAGGCGGGUAUGGGAUCUAUUUUGCAGGUCAGUGGGCCCAAGGCAUAUGGCCAAAACAUUGGGUUGAGACUGGAAUCACCAGAGAUAUGACAUUGUUAGAGUUGUUUCCAGUUGUAGCUGCUCUUAUGUCCUGGGAAUCCUAUUUUGUUAACAAAAAAGUUAUUUUUCAUGUUGAUAAUCAGGCGGUUGUUCAAAUCAUUAAUAUGAAAACUAGCAAAUCAAGUAGAGUUAUGACUUUAGUAAGACAGAUGGUUUUAAUGAACUUAAAAAAUAAUACAUUAGUUAAGGCAAUUUAUAUCCCUUCAAAACAAAACCAAAUUGCUGAUUGUCUUUCUCGUUCUCAGUGGGGGAAGUUCAGAAGCCUAGCUCCAGAAGCAGACCAGUGGCCAACCAAAAUUCCAACACAGAUCUGGAACAUUUAAGUCAGGUGGCUGAUUAUAUUGUCAAUCAAGGUGUGUCCAAAAAUACACAAAAAUCAUACAAUUUGGCUCUGUCAAAACUUUGUACUUUUAGAUCAUCUUAUAAAUUGAAACAGGAUUGGCCGGUGCCAGUCAAUGAUUUGUUAAAUUUUAUAGCUUUUUUGUCAGUACAGGGUCUUUCGGGGGGAACCAUAUCAUCUUAUAUAUCAGGAGUUUCAUACCAUCAUAAAAUUCAAGGGAUACAGGAUACUACAAAAUUCUUUAUAAUUGGAAAGGCAUUAGAAGGAAUAAAAAGAAUUCAAGGGGGAAAACGUAAUGACAUUAGAGCACCAAUUACAGUGCAAUUGUUAUCAGAUAUGAUUAGUUGUUUAGAUAAAGUAUGUAAGAAUAAAUAUGAAGCUGCUUUAUUUUCAGCAGUUUUUUCUGUUGCCUUCUUUGGUUUGCUAAGAGUAGGGGAAAUCACUACUUCAAAAUCCAAGUCUGUUAUAAAUGGCUCCAACUUAACAAUUUCUGAUAUUUUAGUUAGGAGAAAAGUCCUGGAGCUAAGAGUAAGGUGGUCAAAAACUGACCAAAAGGGAAAGUCUGUUACUUUGUUGAUAGCUGAGAACGGAAAAAAAACUACUGUCCGGUACGACUCAUUAACGAAUAUUUAA
rnacentral:sRNA from 1 species